UACGGAGGGGGCUAGCGUUGUUCGGAAUUACUGGGCGUAAAGCGCACGUAGGCGGCUUUGUAAGUUAGAGGUGAAAGCCCAGGGCUCAACCCUGGAAUUGCCUUUAAGACUGCAUCGCUUGAACAUCGGAGAGGUAAGUGGAAUUCCGAGUGUAGAGGUGAAAUUCGUAGAUAUUCGAAAGAACACCAGUGGCGAAGGCGACUUACUGGACGAUUGUUGACGCUGAGGUGCGAAAGCGUGGGGAGCAAACAGG
rnacentral:rRNA from 1 species